CCUUAAAGCUAGCCUACCAAAAGAAAAACAAAAACCAAUUUAAAUAACCCCUAAAUACACUAAUAUCAAAACUAACAAACCAUUUUUCCUCCUUAGUAUAGGUGAUAGAAAAGGAAACUUAGCGCAAUAGAGAAAGUACCGCAAGGGAAUGCUGAAAGAGAAAUGAAAUAACCCAGAAAAGCUAAAAAAAGCAGAGCUUAAACCUCGUACCUUUUGCAUCAUGAUUUAGCAAGUGUAACUUAAGCAAAGAGAACUAUAGUUUAAACCCCCGAAACUACGUGAGCUACUCCAAGACAGCCUAUUAUAGGGCACACCCUUCUCUGUUGCAAAAGAGUGGGACGAGCUUUGAGUAGAGGUGAUAAACCUACCGAACCUAGUUAUAGCUGGUUGUCCAAGAAAUGAAUAGAAGUUCAGCCUAUCGGCUUCUCUCUUCCCGCUAGUCUUACACCUGUCGAUGAAUAAGAAACCAAUAGAGUUAGUCAAAGGGGGUACAGCCCCUUUGAAAAAAGACACAACUUUUACAGGAGGGUAAAGAUCAUAAUACUAAAGAAAAGUACCCCCGUGGGCUUGAAAGCAGCCACCCCCAAAGAAAGCGUCAAAGCUCAAGUACUCUUCUCCUCUUUUAUCCUGAUCACUUAAUCUUAUCCCCCUAUUUUUAAUGGACCCUUCCAUGCCUUCAUGGAAGUGAUUAUGCUAAUAUGAGUAAUAAGGGAGACAACGCCUCCCUCCCCGCACAAGUGUACCUCGGAACGGACAAGCCGCCGACUAUCAACGAUCCCAAUUCAAGAGGGGACUAGAUUUGACAUAAAAAACUAGAAAAUUAUCCAAAAAUAAAUCGUUAACCCUACACAGGAGUGCUCCAGGAAAGACUAAAAGAAAAAGAAGGAACUCGGCAAACACAUAAAGCCUCGCCUGUUUACCAAAAACAUCGCCUCUUGUAAAAUAAAAAUAAGAGGUCCCGCCUGCCCUGUGACUAUAAGUUUAACGGCCGCGGUAUUUUGACCGUGCGAAGGUAGCGCAAUCACUUGUCUUUUAAAUGAAGACCUGUAUGAAUGGCACGACGAGGGCUUAACUGUCUCCUUUUUCCAGUCAAUGAAAUUGAUCUCCCCGUGCAGAAGCGGGGAUAAAACCAUAAGACGAGAAGACCCUAUGGAGCUUCAGACACUAAGGUGCAUCAUGUUAAUAACCCUUGACAAAAGAAUAAACCAAAUGAAAAACACCCUGAUGUCUUUGGUUGGGGCGACCGCGGGGGAUCAAAUAACCCCCAUGUGGAGUAAGAGUACCUCUCCUAAAGCUAAGAGUAACAACUCUAAUAAACAGAAUUUCUGACCAAAAAGAUCCGGCAAUGCCGAUCAACGGACCGAGUUACCCUAGGGAUAACAGCGCAAUCCUCUUUUAGAGCCCAUAUCGACAAGGGGGUUUACGACCUCGAUGUUGGAUCAGGACAUCCUAAUGGUGCAGCCGCUAUUAAGGGUUCGUUUGUUCAACGAUUAAAGUCCUACGUGAUCUGAGUUCAGACCGGAGUAAUCCAGGUCAGUUUCUAUCUAUGCUAUGAUCUUCUCUAGUACGAAAGGACCGAGAAGAAGAGGCCCAUACCUCUGGUACGCCUCUCCCUUACCUAAUGAAUUUAACUAAAAUAGGCAAAAGGGCAUAUACCCGUGCCGAAGAUUACGGCAU
rnacentral:rRNA from 1 species